rnacentral:rRNA from 1 species
UACAGAGGUCUCAAGCGUUGUUCGGAUUCAUUGGGCGUAAAGGGUGCGUAGGCGGCGCGGUAAGUCGGGUGUGAAAUCUCGGGGCUUAACUCCGAAACUGCAUUCGAUACUGCCGUGCUUGAGGACUGGGAGAGGAGACUGGAAAUUUACGGUGUAGCGGUGAAAUGCGUAGAUAUCGUAAGGAAGACCAGUGGCGAAGGCGGGUCUCUGGACAGUUCCUGACGCUGAGGCACGAAGGUCAGGGGAGCAAACGGGG